rnacentral:rRNA from 1 species
AUGCUCUCCACCGGCCGCGCGGUGACCUCGCCCGCGCGCGCUGCCCAGCACCGGUUCAUGGGCGCACCGAGGACGGUGGUGUUCCUCGCCGGCGACCACGGGAAGCGAGCUGCUGCUUCUGUGGCAGCGCGCGCCGCGGGCUCGUCCCACCCCGCUGUCUGCCUCGAGGCGGCCGCGCCAUGGAGCAUGGACUGUGUCGCGGCGCCGGCGACCGUGUCGCACGAGGAGAGCGUGCGCCAGGUCGUGCUCAAGCAGGCGGCGCUCGCGGCCUCGACCACGCCGAGGAAGGCGCGGCUCGCCGGGCGCGACGCCGGCGUGCUGGACGCGGCCUUCGCGCGCUGCGGCGCGGUGUGCAAGGAGUACGCCAAGACCUUCUACCUGGCCACGCAGCUCAUGACGCCGGAGAGACGGCGGGCGAUCUGGGCGAUAUACGUGUGGUGCCGGAGGACGGACGAGCUGGUGGACGGCCCGAACGCGGCGCACACGUCGGCGCUGGCGCUGGACCGCUGGGAGUCGCGCCUCGACGGCGUCUUCGCCGGCCGGCCCUACGACAUGCUGGACGCGGCGCUGGCCGACGCCGUGGCCGCCUUCCCGGCCGUCGACGAGCGGCCGUUCCGGGACAUGGUCCAGGGCAUGCGCAUGGACCUCGCCAAGUCCCGCUACGCCACCUUCGACGAGCUCUACCUCUACUGCUACCGCGUGGCCGGCACCGUCGGGCUCAUGACCGUCCCCGUCAUGGGCGUCUCCCCGGGCUCCCAGGCGGACGUCGAGACGGUGUACGCCGGCGCGCUCGCCCUCGGCGUCGCCAACCAGCUCACCAACAUCCUCAGGGACGUCGGCGAGGAUGCGAGGAGGGGCAGGAUCUACCUGCCGCAGAACGAGCUGGCCACGGCCGGCAUCUCCGAGGCGGACAUCUUCGCCGGCCGCGUCACCGACGAGUGGAGGAGCUUCAUGAAGGGCCAGAUCGCGAGGGCCAGGGCCUACUUCCAGCAGGCCGAGCAAGGCGCCGCCGAGCUCAACCAGGAGAGCCGAUGGCCGGUGUGGGCAUCUCUGCUUCUGUACCGUCAGAUCCUGGACGAGAUCGAGGCCAACGGCUACGACAACUUCAGCAAGCGGGCCUAUGUUCCCAAGGCCAAGAAGCUGGCGGCGCUGCCCAAAGCUUACCUCAGAUCCCUCAUGCCCCCUCCUUCGCAGACGCGCCGUUAA